AACAUUUAUCUGUGAAUGUUAGCUUUUAAAAAUGGGUAAAAUAAGGUCAAUGUAACAACAUUUUGUUUCAGAAAGCUUUCUUUGUGUGCUUGUGUUUUCUCAGGCUCUCUAAACUCCUGUUUCCUCCGAUUCCUCGCCCGCCACAGAAGUACCAGUCCUUCCUAGAAAAAAACGAUCCCCUAAGUUUUUCCUGUCCCGCGCCGCCAGCGAAACAAGAAGAGGAAAUCACAGAAGUAGAAGACGUGGUCCCAAGUUCUGAUAAUAAAAACAAAAACACGUUGGGCCAGCAAUAGCAGGCGCUUCAGUGCCCAUCAGGAGCUAGCACACAUAUGCUGAAAGUAGGCUAAACUGCUAAUUCUCGCCACCAUGUAUGCCGCCAUCUUGCUAGUAUGAUGCUGAAAAAGUUAUUUUCUAGUGCCAGAUGUGGCUCAUUCACUUGAUACUUGGCUAAUUAAUAUAUAUACGACUUGUUUUUAAUAGAUAAAAACAACAAACUGUUUAUGUGAAAGUUGAGUAAUUCACAAAAAAAGCCUGUUUGGAUGUUUCUGCUCCCUUUAUUUUUGGUGUAGUUUUAAGAGGCAAAUUUUUAAAUGAUAUCUACCAUUAUAUUCUCUCUCUCUAUAUAUGUAUAUAUUCUGAUACCAGCAUUCAAUUUUUUAUAUUAAAUUUAAAAUAUAUUUUUUACUUUU